rnacentral:rRNA from 1 species
UACGAAGGGGGCUAGCGUUGCUCGGAAUUACUGGGCGUAAAGCGCACGUAGGCGGAUACUUAAGUCAGGGGUGAAAUCCCGGGGCUCAACCCCGGAACUGCCUUUGAUACUGGGUAUCUCGAGUCCGGAAGAGGUGAGUGGAAUUCCGAGUGUAGAGGUGAAAUUCGUAGAUAUUCGGAGGAACACCAGUGGCGAAGGCGGCUCACUGGUCCGGUACUGACGCUGAGGUGCGAAAGCGUGGGGGAGCAAACAGG